GGAUGAAGAGGAGGAUGUGAUGAAGAGGAGGAUGUGAAGGCGGUAGUUUAAAAAUCUGAGAGCUGUGUCUGUUUCCCCCUCUUUUUUUUUCUUGUCUCUCUUCCUUUUGUGUGAUUGGACUGUUGAGUGUGUCAUCAUGGAUACCACAGCCAGCAGCACUGGUGCUUUGUGGGACAUGUAGUUGAAUCCAUCCAGCAAAAAUCUACGGUGUCCCACAUGCAAAAAAAAAAAAAAAGAAACUCAAAAAGCAUAAAAAAACAAAAAUCUUUUUUAUUUGGAUUCUUUUGUAACUGCAGCGCGGUGCUGAAUAUGUGACCAAUCACCAGCAGACUCCUCAAGUUCAAUUAGAAAAGACCAAACUGAGAGUAGUGAUGAUGUCACCAGCAGGCCACGCCCACCACCAACAGCAGCUCAAUAACUGUUUAUGUUUUUAGUUUCAUGGAUCACUGUGAGAACUGAAACAGAGUCCAGACCACCUGAAGCACAUCGAUCACUGUGACAGCUUUUAAACACGUCAGCAAACUAAUGCACGCCGUUAUUGGACGUGUUUAAACGAAGCGUUUUACAUUCACUUGAGAAAAUCAAAAGAAACAAGACAAUUAAAGGUGACAUAUCCUCCUCCUCUUCUUCAGUUUAAAUAAGUGUCAGAGCUCCUCAAAACAUGUGUGUGAAGUUUCUUGUUCUAAAUCCACUCUGAUCCUGUAUUUGAUCAUGUCUAUAAACCCCUCUAUUUCAGCCCUGCUCAGAACAGGCUGUUUCUGUGUCUGUACCUUUAAAUAUGUAAAUGAGCUGUGUCUGACCACGCCCCCUCUCUGGAAGGGCUUGGGUGUACUCGGUGCUUUCUCGCUCCAUGUCCUAUUGUUUACGGUGAGAAGGCAGACUCAGAGGGCAGAACAAACACCUAGCUGUGGGAGGAGUCACCCACCUGGGGGAGGGGCUACUGCCCUUUGUGAUGUCAUGAAGGGAAAAUCUCCAAACGGCCUGUUUGAGCACACAUUUUCUGAAAAGUGGAGCAGGGAAAAGACGGAGAGGAUGGACUUUUCUCCUCAUUGGGGGGUUUGUAGACGGACUAGAGACACAUGUUAGAGUUAGAGGAACAUGAGGAAGAGGAUUUAAAUUUGUGACCUUUAUGAGAACAUGUCUUACAAGAAAAUAGAAAAUUCUGCAGGUUGUUCUGAAUGAAGAACGUUAUUUCACAAGUGAAUGCAAAACGCUUCCAUGUCUUUACUUAAAGUGAUUAACUACAAAUUUACCUAAGAACAAAACAACUUGGAAUCUAAAAAGGUAUGUGCUCUAAAUGUCUCUGUGACACUUCUCAGCUUGUUUUCUGAUUUGUUUUAGACGAGCGUCAAAACAAAGAAAAGAAGAAAAACUUUCAUUUUUAGGAGACAAUUUUACUUUUUAGGUAUUUCAUUUUGAUAUUGAUACCUGUUUGUUACCCACAGAAAUAGAAGUACUAGACGACCAGUGUUGGAUCAUUUCUUGUUUUGUUUUUUUUAAAUUGCAGACAAACUCCUUCACAGUGUCUGAGAAGCACAAAAACUUCUGCAAUGUUUGGAAAAGAGGAGAGGGUGAAGCUGGAGACGAGCGAGGAGAGAAACCUGCUGCUCUCUCUCUCGCUCUCUCUCCCCCUCUCUCUCUCUCCCUCUCUCCCUCUCUCUCUAUCUCUCCCUCUCUCUCCCUCUCUCUCCCCCUCUCUCCCCUCUCUCUCCCUCUCUCUCUCUCUCUCUCCCUCUCUCCCCCCUCUCUCUCCCUCUCUCUCUCUCUCUCUCUCUCUCCCCCCUCUCCCUCUCUCUCUCUCUCUCCCUCUCUCUCUCCCUCUCUCUCCCUCUCUCCCCCUCUCUCUCCCUCUCUCUCUCCUCUCCCUCUCUCUCUCUCUCCCUAUCUCUCUGUCUCUCUCUCUCUCUCCCUGUCUCUCUCUCUCCCCUCUCUCUCCCUCUCUCUCUGUCUCUCUCCCUCUCUCUCUCUCUCUCCCUCUCUCUCUGUCUCUCUCUCCCUCUCUCUCUCUCUGUCUCUCUCUCUCUCUCUCUCUCCCUCUCUCUCUGUCUCUCUCCCUCUCUCUCUCUCUCUCUCUCCCUCUCUCUCUGUCUCUCUCUCCCUCUCCCUCUCUCUCUCUCUCACUUAGUUAAAAAAAGAAACAAGUAAAGAUUUGUGGGUUUUUAAAAACUGUUAACAAAAAAAAAGAUUUGAACGAGCAGGUUAAAAAAAAAGAUUCUGAUGUAAUGGGGUUGAAAAAACACGAUGAUGCAGUAAGAAGUUUUAUUUUGAAAGCAGAAGAGAGACUGUUGAGCUGCUUUAAAAACUUUUAUUUAAGUUGAUUUUUUUUGCUAUUUUAAAAGAAGAAACAGAAACGACGUCUUUAAAGUUUGAAGCUGUAAACUUUGAGUUUAUAUUCAGUGUGUGUGUGUGUGUGUGUGUGUGUGUGUGUGUGUGUGUGUGUGUGUGUGUGUGUGUGUGUGUGUGUGUGUGUGUGUGUGUGUGUGUGUGUGUGUGUGUGUGUGUGUGUGUGUGUGUGUGUGUAGGUCUGUGUGCUGUGCAAUAAUCUGUUAAUGAACAAACAUGUUUUUUUUCUUCCUGCUUGUUUAUAAAUGUUUUUAUUAAACUGAAGUUUGUACCA